rnacentral:rRNA from 1 species
UACGUAGGGCGCAAGCGUUAUCCGGAAUUAUUGGGCGUAAAGCGCGCGUAGGCGGCCCGGUAAGUCCGUUGUGAAAGUCAAAGGCUCAACCUUUGAACGCCGAUGGAUACUGCCGGGCUAGAGUCCGGAAGAGGCGAGUGGAAUUCCUGGUGUAGCGGUGAAAUGCGUAGAUAUCAGGAGGAACACCGGUGGCGAAGGCGGCUCUCUGGACGGAUACUGACGCUGAGGCGCGAAAGCGUGGGGAGCAAACAGG